rnacentral:rRNA from 1 species
AUGCGGCAGCUUCGGCUCAUCACCAACAUGAGGGCUCAUAAUGACACGUGGUUUGCAGAUUACUUGCUAAGGGUCGGCAAUGGCACUGAGGAUGUAGACGAUCAAGGCAACAUACUACUCCCUGAAGAUAUUUGUCUGCCGUCUACAGGCGAGGUUGACGACCUGGAGAAACUUAUUGACCACGUGUUUCCGAGUCUAGAUGACAACAUGUCUGAUUCCAAUUACAUGACAUCUCGAGCAAUCCUUUCCACGACAAACGACAAUGUCGACAAGAUAAACAUCCGCAUGAUAGACCGUUUUCAUGGAGAUGAAGUAAUCUACCAUAGCUUUGACAUUGCAGAGGACGACCCAUAUGGCUACUACGCUCAGGAGUUUCUUAAUGGAUUGACUCCUAAUGGUCUUCCUCCGCAUGCACUCAAGCUAAAGCUGAGCUGCCCUGUCAUACUUCUAAGGAACAUUGAUCCAGCUAAUGGACUGUGUAACGGCAGUAGGCUUGUUGUAAGAGGUUUUGAGGAACACCAUUGA